rnacentral:lncRNA from 1 species
AGCAGCAUAAGUCGCGAUUGUGAUAAAAAGAGCUGCGAUCACGAGUGACGGGAAAUUUCCAAGGGCAAUGAUGGAAUUUUUCAUGGCUCAAUCCCAAAACAUAAAAGGGCCAACCCGUAAGUUUUCCAGUAGCUAGUUUUCAUUUUUAAGAGCUAAGAAUACAUUUUUGAACUAUUUUUGGAGUGAGAAAUAUCUUUUGAGUGAUUUCCAUGUGAGA